rnacentral:rRNA from 1 species
GAUGAACGCUAGCGGCAGGCCUAAUACAUGCAAGUCGAACGGUAACAGGUAGCAAUACGCUGACGAGUGGCGCACGGGUGAGUAACACGUACACAAUCUGCCUUAUACUGGGGCAUAUCCUCGCGAAAGUGAGAGCAAUUCCCCAUAAUAUAUUUGAAUGGCAUCAUUUGAAUAUUAAAGUUCAGGCGGUAUAAGAUGAGUGUGCGUCUGAUUAGGUAGUUGGUGAGGUAAUGGCUCACCAAGCCUGCGAUCAGUAGCUGGUCUGAGAGGAUGAUCAGUCACACGGACACUGAGACACGGGUCCGACUCCUACGGGAGGCAGCAGUAGGGAAUAUUGGACAAUGGGCGCAAGCCUGAUCCAGCCAUCCCGCGUGAAGGAUGAAGGCCCUCUGGGUCGUAAACUUCUUUUAUCUGGGAAUAAAAACUCGUAUUUAUAUGAGCUUGAAGGUACCAAGAGGAAUAAAGCACCGGCU